rnacentral:lncRNA from 1 species
AAGUCCAUUUUUACGUUAUUUCGUACUAUAUUGUACAAUUCCUUUGUUUGGGGAAUUUUUUUAUCACGCGAUAAAAAAUGAAAUUAUAGAAUGGAUACCUAUGACUAGAUCUAGGAUAAAUGGAAAUUUUAUUGAUAAGACCUUUACCAUUGUAGAGCCCAAUAUCUUAUUACGAAUAAUUCCGACAACUUCUGGAGAAAAAGAGGCAUUCACUUAUUACAGAGAUGGUGCGAUUUGAUUAUUUUUUUUUACACUUCAGAGACAAAUAAAAAAAAAAUGGAAAAAAAAAACCUACGCUUGCUGAAGGUGAAGUUUGGAAAUAAAAAAAACGAUUAAUCCCUUCUGUCGUGUAUUCCCGAUUAAUGCAGCCUCGAUAUGCUUCAAUUUUAGGUAGUAUUAAGCGAAAGGUUAUACCUAUAUAUACCUAUGGGGUUAGGUGAAUCCUACUCCACUAGUACCAAUAGGGGGCAUGGGGGAAGAAGCACUACGCUAGGGAAUCAACGACAGGAGAAAACUUUGUAAAAAAAUCCUUCCUUUCUUCUUAUCGGGAUCGGGACUAACUAGAAUGGUUGGGACAACAAACAUCCAUCUCGUUCGUAUUUUGGAUACCCAUAUAACCAUCGAAGACUGUCGAAGUGACUAAUUCCGGGAAAUUAAGCGGCGUUGAGGACAAAGAAAUUGUUGAAGUUACUAUUUAUCCAGUAAUAACUUACUAAAUGUUAAUAAAAGAUCCUUUACAGAAAGGUUGGCUAGAGAUUUCAUCAACAACAGGAGAAAACUUUGUAAAAAAAUCCUUCCUUUCUUCUUAUCGGGAUCGGGACUAACUAGAAUGGUUGGGACAACAAACAUCCAUCUCGUUCGUAUUUUGGAUACCCAUAUAACCAUCGAUGACUGUUGAAGUGACUAAUUCCGGGAAAUUAAGCGGCGUUGAGGACAAAGAAAUUGUUGAAGUUACUAUUUAUCCAGUAAUAACUUACUAAAUGUUAAUAAAAGAUCCUUUACAGAAAGGUUGGCUAGAGACUUCGUGUAAAAACACUAGUCCCGCUCAGUUGAUAAUGAGAAUAUUGCAAUCUUUUUUGAUUCCAUGGAUGUUUAUCAUUAUCCACAUAAAGGAGGAGCCGUAUGAGAUGACAAUCUCACGUACGGUUCCGGAACGGAGAUUCUUUGAACCGAGUGACGACCGUAACGGAUGUCGGCUCAAUCGGAAGGAAAUUAUGCGGAAGCUUUACAGAAUUAUUAUGAGGCUAUGCGACUGGAAAUUGAUCCCUAUGAUCGAAAGUUAAUAAAAGAUCCUUUACAGAAAGGUUGGCUAGAGAUUUCGUGUAAAAACACUAGUCCCGCUCAGUUGAUAAUGAGAAUAUUGCAAUCUUUUUUGAUUCCAUGGAUGUUUAUCAUUAUCCACAUAGAGGAGGAGCCGUAUGAGAUGACAAUCUCACGUACGGUUCUGGAACGGAGAUUCUUUGAACCGAGUGACGACCGUAACGGAUGUCGGCUCAAUCGGAAGGAAAUUAUGCGGAAGCUUUACAGAAUUAUUGUGAGGCUAUGCGACUGGAAAUUGAUCCCUAUGAUCGAAGUUAUAUACUUUAUAACAUAGGCCUUAUCCACACAAGUAACGGAGAACAUACAAAAGCUUUGGAAUACUAUUUUCGGGCACUCGAACGAAGCCCUUUCUUACCUCAAGCUUUUAACAAUAUGGCCGUGAUCUGUCAUUACGUGCGACUAUCUCCACUAUAGAAAGAAAAAAGAAAAGAACCUCCACUAAUAGUAAUAAAUACUAGACAAAAAAAAUAGAAUUACAGAAUUAUUAUGAGGCUAUGCGACUGGAAAUUGAUCCCUAUGAUCGAAGUUAUAUACUUUAUAACAUAGGCCUUAUCCACACAAGUAACGGAGAACAUACAAAAGCUUUGGAAUACUAUUUUCGGACACUCGAACGAAACCCUUUCUUACCUCAAGCUUUUAACAAUAUGGCCGUGAUCUGUCAUUACGUGCGACUAUCUCCACUAUAGAAAGAAAAAAGAAAAGAACCUCCACUAAUAGUAAUAAAUACUAGACAAAGAAAAUAGAAAUAGGCUUUCUACAUAGAUAUCGUUCGAAACAACGAUUUUUAUGAGCUGUAUGAAAGAAACUUCAUAGAAGUAAAAAUAUGAAGAAAUAGAAUAUAUAUGCCUAGAUACUUUUUUCUAUGAAUAAAAGAUCUAAUUGAUAGAGGAAGCACCGUAAAGAUCAAUUAACAAGGUUUUUGGCCGAUACAACAAGAACUGCUUACUUAUAUGAUGAUAGAUUAGAAAUCAACUUAUGUAAUAAAGUUGAUCCCAU